ensembl:lncRNA
GUGUUGCUUAGCAGUUGCAAAAGUGUUCUUAAUGGAUCCUAGAGUGUUGAUAAGUGGUUGCUAUUGUGUUCAUGGAGGUUUCUAGGUAGUUGCUAGGGUUGUUGCUAAGGUGUUGCCAGGGAGUUGCUAGGGCAGUUGGUAUGGUGGAAGUUAAGAUGUUGUAAAUGGUUGCUAGGCUAUUGCUAAGGUAUUCUAAGUGGUUGCUAAGGUGUUGCCAGGCAGUUGCUAUGGUGGUUGCUAAGGUGUUGCUUAGCAGUUGCAAAAGUGUUCUAAAUGGAUCCUAGAGUUUUGAUAAGUGGUUGCUAUUGUGUUCAUGGAGGUUUCUAGGUAGUUGCUAGGGUUGUUGCUAAGGUGUUGCCAGGCAGUUGCUAUGGUGGUUGCUAAGGUGUUGCUUAGCAGUAGCAAAAGUGUUCUAAAUGGAUCAUAGAGUGUUGAUAAGUGGUUGCUAUGGUGUCCAGGGAGGUUGCUAAACGGUUGCUAGGCAGAUUAUGUAAAUAAGCCCUGUGGAGUUUGAAAGUUUUUACUUGCCUUUCUAGAUAGUUUGCUAAGGUGGUUGCUAGGGUGUUGCUAAACAGUUACUAAUAUGUUCUGCAUGGUUCUAAGAGCCCUGUGGAAUUUGAAAACUUGUCUUUCUGGGCCACUGCUAAGGUAUUUUAUGUGGUUGCUAGGCAGUUGAUAGGGUUUUUGCUAAGGUGUCUCCAGGCAGUAGCAAGGGUGGUCGGUGGUUGCUAAGGUUUUGCUAAACAGUUACUAAUGUGUUCUGGAUCGUUGCUAAAGAAGUUUAUAAGGUGUUCCAAAUAGUUGCUAGGCCAGUGCUAA